rnacentral:rRNA from 1 species
UGUAGUCAUAUGCUUGUCUCAAAGAUUAAGCCAUGCAUGUCUAAGUAUAAACAAUUUUGUACUGUGAAACUGCGAAUGGCUCAUUAUAUCAGUUAUAGUCUACUCGAUAGUGCCUUACUACUUGGAUAACCGUAGUAAUUCUAGAGCUAAUACAUGCAUGAAUACCCAACUGCUUGUCGGGCGGGUAGCAUUUAUUAGAUUGAAACCAAUGCAGUCUUCGGGCUGGUAUUGUGUUGAGUCAUAAUAACUGUGCGGAUCGCACUUUGUGCGAUAAAUCGAUUGAGUUUCUGCCCUAUCAGCUUUGGAUGGUAGGAUAUGGGCCUACCAUGGCAUUAACGGGUAACGGGGAAUUAGGGUUUGAUUCCGGAGAGGGAGCCUUAGAAACAGCUACCACAUCCAAGUAAGGCAGCAGGCGCGUAAAUUACCCAAUCCUGACACAGGGAGGUAGUGACAAUAAAUAACAAUGCUCUGGCUCUUCGAGUCGGGCAAUUGGAAUGAGAACAAUUUAAAUCCCUUAACGAGGAUCAAUUGGAGGGCAAGUCUGGUAAUCG